rnacentral:rRNA from 1 species
AACGAACGCUGGCGGCAUGCCUAACACAUGCAAGUCGAACGAGACCUUCGGGUCUAGUGGUGCACGGGUGCGUAACGCGUGGGAACCUGCCCUUAGGUUCGGAAUAACUCCCCGAAAGGGGUGCUAAUACCGGAUAAUGUCUUCGGACCAAAGAUUUAUCGCCUUUGGAUGGGCCCGCGUUGGAUUAGCUAGUUGGUAGGGUAAAAGCCUACCAAGGCGACGAUCCAUAGCUGGUCUGAGAGGAUGAUCAGCCACACUGGGACCGAGACACGGCCCAGACUCCUACGGGAGGCAGCAGUGGGGAAUAUUGGACAAUGGGCGAAAGCCUGAUCCAGCAAUGCCGCGUGAGUGAUGAAGGCCUUAGGGUUGUAAAGCUCUUUUACCCGGGAUGAUAAUGACAGUACCGGGAGAAUAAGCUCCGGCUAACUCCGU